rnacentral:tRNA from 1 species
CAGAAAAUAGUUUAUAAAAUAUUAAUUUUGGAGAUUAAAGUUAGGAAGUAUUUCCUUUUUCUGA